GGGGGCUUAUGGAAGCUACUCUUUGGAACGAAGCAGUCCUGAUAUGUUGCUACCUGCUGAAGUGCAGGAACCGAAGAGGAAAUUAAGGAGAUGAGGGAGUCUCUAUUCAAUAAGAAAAAUGGGUUUCUGUCAGGUAGGCUUGUUGACAUCUUUUUAUUUCUCUCUUUAAUUAACAUUACCUAUGUCAAAUGUUUGUACUGAGGUAUGAUGUUUUAGAAUUCUUUCACUACCUUUCAUCCAUUUAUUUCACAUGCUUUACGUUUCCUUGGCGACUUCAUCUGCGACCAUGUUAGUACUGAGGUAUGAUGUUCAUAAUUCUUUCACUACCUUUCAUCCAUUUAUUUCAC
rnacentral:lncRNA from 1 species